GAGCCCCAGGCAACGAGGCAAAGCAAAGCAAGCCAGUUCUGAGAGAGAGCGACAUGCCAGCUUCCUAGAAAAAGAGCGCAGAGUUUUUGAGAGCAAGCGAGGAGAGGGACAGUCGCUUUACGAGAGGUUAGAGUACUGUGCACAGAAACAUCCUAGACACAGCACACUCUGGGAAACACGGGGAAAGGGGACCUCUAAAGAGGACUUACAUAUUGUGACGUGUUUUAUUUUAAAACUAUCUGACAUUGGAAAAAAAAAACCGGGAGCUUAUUCGGAGUUAGUGGAAAGAGCAGCGUGCUAAUAAUAAAAAGAAACUACCUCCUCCCAAUCCUCGGUUUUUUAUUUUUAUUUUGUAUUUUACUGAUAUAAGUACCGACUGAAGAAGAUCCGAAUCACAGUAAGACUUGACAAGAAAGAAACUGACAAGAAACGCAGGAGACGCUGAGGCUGUCGGUUGGAGGAGGUGUGAGAUAUACCGCUUCUUUUUUGGACUUUUUUUUUGCUUGGGGUAAAGUCAUUUUUUUUUGUUUGUUUUUUGUUUUUGUUUUUUUGGAAUAUGGUUGGGGAAAUGGAAACGAAGGAGAAGCCGAAGCCGACCCCAGACUAUCUGAUGCAGCUCAUGAAUGAUAGGAAGCUGAUGAGCAGUCUGCCUAACUUCUGUGGGAUUUUCAAUCACCUCGAAAGGCUUCUGGAUGAAGAAAUAAGCAGAGUACGGAAAGACAUGUACAACGACACAUUAAAUGGCAGCACAGAGAAGAGAAGCUCAGAAUUACCUGACGCCGUGGGGGCAAUUGUACAGUUACAAGAAAAACUUUAUGUGCCUGUAAAAGAAUAUCCAGACUUCAAUUUUGUGGGAAGGAUCCUUGGACCCAGAGGACUAACAGCAAAGCAGCUGGAAGCAGAGACGGGGUGUAAGAUCAUGGUCCGAGGCAAGGGCUCAAUGAGGGACAAAAAAAAGGAAGAACAAAACAGAGGCAAACCCAACUGGGAGCAUCUGAACGAAGACCUGCAUGUAUUAAUAACAGUGGAAGAUGCUCAGAACAGAGCAGAAAUCAAACUGAAAAGGGCCGUAGAGGAAGUCAGAAAGUUAUUGGUGCCAGCAGCGGAGGGUGAAGACAGCCUUAAAAAGAUGCAGCUGAUGGAGCUUGCAAUUCUCAAUGGCACGUACAGAGACGCCAACCUCAAAUCACCUGCCCUUGCCUUUUCUCUUGCAGCAACGACCCAGGCUCCUCGGAUCAUUACAGGGCCCACGCAGGUUCUCCCGCCCGCAGGCCUGCGCACCCCCACACCAGCCGGCCCGACCAUAAUGCCUUUGAUUAGACAGAUUCAGACAGCUGUCAUGCCAAACGGAAGCCCUCACCCUACCAUAGUCCCUCAGGGACCAGAGGCAGGACUAAUCUACACUCCCUACGAAUACCCAUACACACUGGCACCUGGGACAUCCAUCCUGGAGUACCCCAUCGACCAUAGUGGAGUAUUAGCUUCCUCAAAGGCUGAAGAGCUGCCACUGUACUUUGGGUUCCAUACCUGUCACAUUCCAGUCACAUUCCACCGAGGAGACUCCUCCUCCAGGGUUUCCUUUUAAAGAACAAGGCUGCACUGUACACCCCACUUAAACUGUCCAAACUUUCCACAGUAGGGUCAUUUCGGAGAGCUGCCAGCUUCAACCUAACACCGUAAUGCUCUUGCAUCACUGCAAUUUGUUGAAUGUUUACACACAAAAAACUUUUCCAAUGCCCACAGCCUUAAAUGCAUUUUUAUUUGUGUGCAUGUCAGAUUUAAAAAAACAAACAAAAGCAAAACAAGAAAUAAACAACACCGCAUGGCAUUGAGCCACAUGGCAGCACAAACUCCUGGAUGAUAUCCUUCUGUAACAGAUGCAACCAUGGAUGAGCUUUAGAUUUGCUUGGGGGAUCUUUUUUUUUUUUUUUUUUUUGCUUUGGGUUGAACGUGAGGACAAAUUGAAUGUUACUACACAGAGGAUGGACUUCUCCAGAGACUAAUUGACAUUCCCUUCCUUUAUUCUUUAGGUAUGGCUUUCCCAACGAAAGGCUAAGCAUUCAAGAAUGGUCUUACUGAACCCUCAUCAGAUCUGAGUUUAACACAUGCUUAGUUUCACAGCUGCCUUGAACGAAAUGAGCUCAGCCUAGCAGUCAGUCAGACACAUGCACGAGAUAACCCAUUUAAAAAGAGUUACUACUGAAACCAACACUGGCAAUAUCUUUUGCAGAAGAAAAAAAAUGCUAUAUAAAAAAAUAAAAAUAAAUCUCUGCAUAGUGUUUCAUUGACUACUAAGUUUUGUUAAAAAAAAUUAAAUACUGUGUUGCUUUACUAAUCACUUAAUUGCAAAUUCUACUUAUUGGCUUUUAACCUCAAUGUCAAGUUGUGGGCUAAAGAAACUACUGCAAAAGUUCUUAAAAACUGGAUUGGGUCUCAGACCAUUUCAGAGAAUAAUCAGUAUUAUUAUUAUUAUUAUUAUUAUUAUUAUUAUUAUUAUUAUUAUUAUUAUUAUUAUUAUUGUUAAUAAAAAAAUAGAUAACUGGAAAUCAUGGAUCUACUCCUGUUGCACUCCAUUGAUUAUGUGACUAGUAAAGCUUAAAUGUGCCUGGGUCCAUUCCAUGUCAUUAAUACUGUACUUUGGGAUAAUACAACAAUGGAUCCAACAGGUUAAGGCAACCUUUUUGGAAGUGACUGCUACUAUGUUAUAAACCACAUAGCUAUUCUCAUAUAAACUAUUGUGCCUUAACUUGUUAAUCUUGUUUUUUUUUUAAUUGCAUACUUUGUAGUUAUUGUUGAUUGUUAAAUCCUUUUUGUGAUAAACCUGCUGUUGUUUGAUGAAAUGUUAAUGAACAGUUUGUAGGUUGAAUUAUUAUCUAACCUUGUCUUGGUAAUGUUGCAAUUUAACCAGGUGCGGUGGCUACUAAAGUUCGAAGGCACGAUAUGCGGGUCCAUCCUUACCAAAGGAUUGUGACCGCAGACAGAGCCGCCACUGGCAACUAACCUAUGACCUUCUGACCUCUGAACUCUUCACCCAAUGAUGACCUGACCAUUGCCUGCCUGCUGAUCAGUUAACUGGUAAACAAACGCCUAUGCUUGAGAAAAAACACAAAAACAGACAGACAGACAGACAGACAGACAGACAGACAUUCAAAACAAGUCCAACUUGUCAGCUUUUUUUUCUGGUUGGGUGAAAGUGGUUCUGGACCCUGCACUGAAUAGUAGUAAAGCAAUAAGGUCCAAUUCAUUCCCACUGCUCAUCAUUGGCCUGCCCCUCUCCCUCUCUCCCUCCCUCCUCUGCCCCAGAAACAUGUAGAAGGAUGGGAGACACUGAUCAUUUUUCUCUCAGAGGCAGUUACCUUGAGACAACUACGGAACACUUCAGCUCAUGGUGAUGUCAUAAUCUCUGAAUGUAUCGUGUUGCAAUGAUGCAUCAUGCAUGAACCUUUUAGUCAGUAAUUCCAUUGGUGGAAACUUUAUUUUUUUUCAAGUAUUCAAAAUUUGAGGAUUCAGUAUUGCUGCCCUAACAGGCAAAACAAAAAAGAAAGAAGAAAUAUUUGGAUGUGGCCUGCCUCUGUAUUGAAAUGUAUUGAGUGCCAUUACUGAACAAAACGUAUGAUAACGUAAGUGUGCUGAUAUUGUAAUGAGGGGAAAGUAGCUUUAAAACAUAGAGGUGUUGUGACAGCGAAGGUACAUGCAUUAUGUGUCCCAUUACUGGGAAAAAAAAAAUUCCUUGUACAGAUUUGAUUUCUUUAAGGAUGUAAAAGCCAUGCUUGCCUAUUUGCUGUACACAUGUAUUGAAAUUGUAGAUAAAUGUAUUGCGUUGAGAAAAAAAAAGAAAAAAAAAAGAAACUUUUAUUAUACAAGGGUGCUGGUGAAGAAAAAAUAUAUAUUUUUCAAAACAUGUAGCCUUUUAUACUUUCAAGUAUUAUAAAAAAAAAUGAACAAAGAAACCCUUUAUUUCAUUAAAAUGUUGUUUUUCAUGGUUGGGGAGAUACAAAAGACCAAAACAGCCUUUUCUUUCUUUCUUUCUUUCUUUCUUUCUUUCUUUCUUUCUUUUUUGUUAAGCAUUAGAAUAUGUCUAAAGAAUGAAAAGUGCCUUAUUUUUUCAUGGUCAUUGAAUCUGAAUGUCUCAUAAUCAGUUUCUAUCUGAAUACCAAGUUAAUACAUGCCACUUUGCCACCCUGUAUGUUUCAAGGAGCUGGGCAUGAAUACAAAGGAGCUUGCAGCAAUGAAGCCUGAUUUUUGCCAUGCCACUGCACUGUAGCUUUACCAAGAAUACUGCACUGUGAAACGUUUUACAGCUGUUAACCUCCAAACUUGUAUUAACAUUUUAAAAGGAUCAUUGGCAUGUUAUGUAAAACAAAAAUUAUGUAACGCCCUAAACUAAUUGUUGGAUGGUUUUGUCAAAGACAGGUCUUGUCUUAAGUCUUAGAUACAGUACUAUGGGCCUGAUUUUCACACCUCUUAAAUCUGGGACUGAAAAAGCAAAUCAUAUGUUUGCAUAUUUACGAAAAGCAACGUAACUGCACUGAGCGAAACAGAAUAUUACAUUUAAAUUGAAACUAACAAGCAAAUCAGAUUUAUAUGUUUGAAAUUGAUAAAAGCGAAGACAUUUACUCAAAAUCCAGGGACAGUUUUGAAAAUCAGGCCCGGAUGACAAGCUGACAUCGGUUACACUGAAUUCUUCUAGAUUUGUUAACCUUCCUGAGUCGCCUUGUUUGUUAUGCUCUGGCAUGCUCUGCAGAAAAAAAAAAAAAAAACAUUCUUUAAUAAAAUCUGUCUAGACAUCAGGCUCUCUGAAAUAAAGCAGUGAAGCUUAGAAGUUAAGGCAUAGAGCUGGAAGCCAGGUGACAUUAAUUCUGCACCCCUCAGAAACAACCCCAGAAUUUGAUUUUUAAAUUGGAACAUUAGGUACAUUUUCAUUCGUGUGUAAGACAUCAUCGCUUGCCCACCAGGCCUCCAUGCGUAAUUUGUAGAGAUUGCUCUGUGUUUUAUUGACAUUGGUCUGGAGAGUCCAGGUCUUUGCUUUAACCAAUUAGACACCCAUCCAGGUCCUAGAGUAGUUAGUUGCGUAAACACCUAUUUAAAAUGGAAUGGUCCAGCAGGACUGGGAAUGGCCCCCCUUUGUUUUAUACAAGCUUCUAUGGAGUAUUGCCCCUCGUGAAUGGAGAGUGCAGUCCUUCAGACACAGUAUGGCAAGCAUCAGGUGGCAAUUGUCAGCUCAUUCUGCUGCUGUUCACCCUUUUUGUAGCUUCCAAGUAAUAGACCCUUCCAUUGUGUUUGCCAAUUGGCCAGGUUUUGAUGACUUAUUGUACAGUAAAAUACAGUAACAACACAGCUACACGUUAUCCUCAUCCAUAAUCUCAGUCAGAAGGACGCAUUGAUUUCUUUACUAUGCAACAGACGUUUAUCCACAUAAUAGUAUAUGUAACCGAUUUUAUUUGCUAUGUCACCAGAUAUGUCUUCCUGUCUUGAUUUUUUUUGUUUGUUUGUUUGUUUGUUACUUUUAACUUGGACACAUGUAAGCAGUGUCUAUUAUUAUUAUUAUUAUUAUUAUUAUUAUUAUUAUUAUUAUUAUUAUUAUUAAUAACUAAAAAUAACCCCUUGUGACACUUCAGUAUUUGAGGAAAGGCUCUUCCUAAGUGGAAAUAUAAAACAGUUUCUAAAUUAACAUCAUCUCAAGUUUUGGUUAAAAACUGGAAUAAGUAUUUUUGGUGAAGGUCAUUGGGAGGGGAACAUAUAAAGAGUUCAUACAAGAUGCAGUAUGAGCGUAUUUAGUGGUUGAGACGAUCAUGUCCAAUAAGCAUGACUACAUUAGAAACUCAAAAUGCGUUUGUUUUCAGUAUUAUUUUAUUCUUGAGUUUAUAUAAGAUGUUAUUGGAAGGAUUUUAAGAUAUUAAGCUUUUUUGACAGUAUUAUGUGCCACACGGAUGAAAUAUAGCUAUUAGACCCAUGCUAUGUAUGUACCAUAACCUACUUAUUGCCUACAAAAAAAACUGUAAGAUAAUGUAUUUACAGCCAUUGUUACAAGUUUAUAAUGUAUUUUUCUAUCUUGUUUUAUAUGUAUGUGUUAUAUAUAUAUAUAUAUAUAUAUAUAUAUAUAUAUAUAUAUAUAUAUAUAUAUAUAUAUAUAUAUAUAUAACAUUUAAUGAUUUCUUUCCUGAUUUGAAAAAAAAAUCAAAACGCAAACUUGCGUAUUUGAUAACUGAGAAAUACCAGUUUGUUUUCCAGUAAAUUAUUGCUGAGAGUGUUGUCUUUCUUGAGCUUGUAUCUUUUUUUCUUGAUUAGCAACUGGAUGACUUCAUUAAUCACUUUGAGCUUUUUUGUUGAGUUUUUACAUUGCUUGCAUUUUACUCCUUUUGGUUCUUUGCUAUUCUUAUUAACCCAUAACAUUAUUUUAAUAAAUGUUACAAUACCAAUCUACUAA